GGUAAUUUUUUUUUAGAAAAUGGUUGGUAAUUUUUGAAUUGGAGAUUUUUACUUGGAUCAUUCCUUGAAUCAAACACACACCAAAAAAUAUCUUAAGCCAAAUGGCUAAAAUACACAAAAAUACUUUCAAGGUAGAAGUGAUUUACUCUCGAUCGAAGCUUAAAAUUUCUAAGUCAUUUUGUCAUAUUUUUUUUCAGUUUCAUUCGCGAUAAGAGAUUUUACUUGGUUCUUUACUGUUGCUCGCGUCCGUGCUUGUUUGGAGGAGCUGGUUUCCCUGCUUCGUCACUGUGUCAAUUUUUUUGCGCAGAAAAAGGUUCAGGUUUUAAACAUCCAUGUAACGCUUAAAUCGGUUCUCGGUCUUUAAUUCAGCAGAAUCAGUGGUAGGUCCUCAUUCUCUGAGGAUAAUAGCCAUGAGUUUCUUUUCAGUAUUUUUAGUCCUUUUGUUUCAGUUUUGCUAGACUUAGCUUAGUCUUGUCCCAACAUUUAGGCUUUUUUUAGACAGAGUUAGAUUUAUCUUAGUAUGGAGUUAAUAUCUACUUUAUAUUAAACUCUUUAGCUUUUAUAUAUCUCAGUUAUAGUA